GGCGGGACGAGCAGCACAGGCAUCGGCAGCGGACGGUACCCUGACUUAGAAGCAACCUUACUCCAAGUGGAAUGAUCCUUGUGGUGUGAGGAUGUUGUGGAAGUGGAAGUAUUGUGUUCAUGGAGUUCAGCAAGAACCUCAAGCAGGAAUUCUAUGAGAGCAUCGAUCGGCACAGUCCUUGUCUCCUCGAGUUAUUUCGAUCCAAGAGAGGUAAUGUUGGACAGUUGUUGACACAUAUUUCACAACAG